rnacentral:lncRNA from 1 species
CUUUAGAGAAAAACAGGUUUUCAUUUUCAUUUCAUAAGAAUUUUGAGAGAGGUAGAGAGAAAAAGUUCAAGAGAAGAGGAAAAGGGUUAGAAGGGAUAAAGCUUGAAGACCCAAGAGGUGAUAGAGAUUCUAGGAGCUAAAUUGAAGUUUUUGCUAGGAUUAUUGCUAAUUGAGAUGGGUAGACGAAGUACAGGAUUAGUUGCUUUUGGUGAGUUGCUUGGUGAUUGCUUGGAUAUCGGGAGAUAUCUCCGUUAUUGUUUCCUUAGAGUCUUAGGGUAGGCUCUGAUCUAGGAUGUAUGUCUUAAGAUUAUUCUAGAUUGUUUAUUCUGGAUUUAUUUAUGUUGUGGAGAUUUGCCCAUUUGUUGGGAUUUGGAGAAUUUUUAUGAUGAUGUAUUUUGAUCUCAUGGCAUGUAUACUUUUGAGGUGUAUGGUUUAUAUCCGCUGCAACUGUUGAAAAUUUUUAUAUAUGCCUGUUGAUUUUGUUUUUGUUGAUGUCGUGGCGUCUAUUUCUUGAAUAUUAUAUUAUUCGCGUGUUUUAUCGCUUUAAUAGAAAUAGGGCGUUACACAUCUCUUUAUAUAUAAGUUACAAGAGAUGUAAAAUGCUCUAG